rnacentral:rRNA from 1 species
UACGAAGGGGGCUAGCGUUGUUCGGAAUUACUGGGCGUAAAGGGCGCGUAGGCGGUGUGUCAAGUCAGGCGUGAAAGCCCCGGGCUCAACCUGGGAACUGCGCUUGAGACUGGCACGCUCGAGUUCGGGAGAGGAUGGCGGAAUUCCCAGUGUAGAGGUGAAAUUCGUAGAUAUUGGGAAGAACACCGAUGGCGAAGGCAGCCAUCUGGACCGACACUGACGCUGAGGCGCGAAAGCGUGGGGAGCAAACAGG